rnacentral:tRNA from 1 species
GAAGAGACCAUAACAGAACUGCUAACUCUCACACCUGAGAUUAAAACCUCAGACUCUUC